UUCCAAAGUGUUGAGUUCAGUUCAGGGCAGCGUCCCUGUUCAUUAAACUCUGGGACAUUGAAAGGGGUUAGGAGAACUGGUUAGAAAGCAUCAUUCUAUUCGCCUCCCAGCCUAUAACA
ensembl:snoRNA